GUUAAACGGCUGCAGUACUCUGACUGUGCAAAGGUAGCAUAAUCAUUUGCCUGGUAAUUUCAGGCUGGCAUCAAUGGCUAGACGAUAGGGGUGCUGUCUCUUUUUACUUUUGUUGAAAUUAAUAUUUAGGUGAGAAGCCUAAAUGAGUUAGUGGGACGAGAAGACCCUAUAGAGCUUUAGCUUAGUGUCUUUGAAUUUGUGGACAUAGAGUUUUAGUUGGGGCAACUGUUUAUAAAAUUAAACAUAGAUUUUCAGUAAAAAAAGAGUUCGAGUAUUGACCUACAAUGUGUUGUAGUAGGUUGAAAAAGUUACCUUAGGGAUAACAGCGUAAUUUCUUUUGAGAGUACUUAUUGACAAAGAAGUUUGCGACCUCGAUGUUGGAUCAGGUUAUCCUGGAUGUGCAGCAGCCUCCAAGGGUUGGUUUGUUCAACCAUAAAAAACUUACGUGAUCU
rnacentral:rRNA from 1 species